rnacentral:lncRNA from 7 species
CGGUGGUGCACCGGACACUGUCCGGUGCCCAGGCUGGCCCGGCGGUGAACUGGCUGCUCUAGGGAAUCGGCGCGGCGACAUGGCUACAAAUCACCGGACUGUCCAGUGGUGCACUAGACUGUCCGGUGAGUCAUCAGCGCCCGCGCCCCAAGUAUUCGGCGACGAACUCGUCGCUCUCGGGAAAUGGAGAAGGCGUCACGACUAUAAUUCACCGGACUGUCCGGUGGUGCACCGGACUGUCCGGUGAGGCAUAGGCGCCCGCGGCCAACGGUCGUCUGCGCGAUCAACGGGCGACACGUGGCCGAACCAACGGUCGGAUAGUCACACCGGAUAGUGUCCGGUGCGCCAACAGAUCUGAAGAUCCAACGGUCGGCUUCGCCAGAAAAGGAAAGAGAUCACGCACCGGACUGGUACUGUUCAUGUCCGAUGGUGCACCAGACUGUCCGGUGCGCCACUCGACAGAAGACAAGAUUUGCCUUUCAAGUUGAUCUUCAAUGGCUCCUAGCUGCCUUGGGGCUAUAAAUGGGACCCCUAGGCGCAUGGAGUAGUACACCAAGCUUCCAUUAAUCAUCCUAAGACUCCCAGGCUCAGCAAUCACGCAAUCGAUUCACUGUGUUAGAGAUUUGAGCACCGUCUGAGUUGUAAACUCCUUACGCUGUAUCUUGUGCUCACUUCUUGGUUUGUGUGCGUAGUUACUGCGAUUUGAGUCUUGUGUGUGUUGCUUUCCCUCCCUUACUUCUGUGCUUUUUGUGUAAUCAACAUUGUAAGGGCGCGAGGCUCCAAUUUGUGAAGAUUCCUC